AAUAGAUACCCGGGUAGUCCACGCCCUAAACGAUGUAUACUUGGUUGUGGCGGCUUUGACGCCGUCGCGGCCGGAGCAAAAGUGUUAAGUAUACCGCCUGGGGAGUACGGUCGCAAGGCUAAAACUCAAAGAAAUUGACGGGGGCUCACACAAGCGGUGGAGCAUGUGGCUUAAUUCGAAGCAACGCGCAGAACCUUACCAGGGCUUGACAUGUAUGGAUUAGUUGUGUGAAAGCACAAUGACGCUCGCAAGAGUGGAACUUACACAGGUGCUGCAUGGCUGUCGUCAGCUCGUGCUGUGAAGUGUCGCGUUAAGUCGCUUAACGAGCGAAACCCUUAUCAUUAGUUGCCAGCGGGUCAUGCCGGGAACUCUAGUGAGACUGCCGGUGUUAAACCGGAGGAAGGUGGGGAUGACGUCAAGUCCUCAUGGCCUUUAUGCCCUGGGUUGUACACGUGCUACAAUGGCGUAUCAAAGCGACGCAAGCCAGCGAUGGCAAGCAAAUCGCCUAAAGUACGCCCC
rnacentral:rRNA from 1 species